GGCGAACGCUGGCGGCGUGCUUAACACAUGCAAGUCGAACGGAAAGGCCCUGCUUUUGUGGGGUGCUCGAGUGGUGAACGGGUGAGUAACACGUGAGUAACCUGCCCUUGACUUUGGGAUAACUUCAGGAAACUGGGGCUAAUACCGGAUAGGAGCUCCUGCUGCAUGGUGGGGGUUGGAAAGUUUCGGCGGUUGGGGAUGGACUCGCGGCUUAUCAGCUUGUUGGUGGGGUAGUGGCUUACCAAGGCUUUGACGGGUAGCCGGCCUGAGAGGGUGACCGGCCAAAUUGGGACUGAGAUACGGCCCAGACUCCUACGGGGGGCAGCAGUGGGGAAUAUUGCACAAUGGGCGGAAGCCUGAUGCAGCAACGCCGCGUGCGGGAUGACGGCCUUCGGGUUGUAAACCGCUUUCGCCUGUGACGAAGCGUGAGUGACGGUAAUGGGUAAAGAAGCACCGGCUAACUACGUG
rnacentral:rRNA from 1 species